AACGAACGCUGGCGGCAUGCCUAACACAUGCAAGUCGAACGAUCCCUUCGGGGAUAGUGGCGCACGGGCGCGUAACGCGUGGGAACCUGCCCUUAGGUUCGGAAUAACUCAGAGAAAUUUGAGCUAAUACCGGAUAAUGUCUUCGGACCAAAGAUUUAUCGCCUUUGGAUGGGCCCGCGUUGGAUUAGCUAGUUGGUGGGGUAAAGGCCUACCAAGGCGACGAUCCAUAGCUGGUCUGAGAGGAUGAUCAGCCACACUGGGACUGAGACACGGCCCAGACUCCUACGGGAGGCAGCAGUGGGGAAUAUUGGACAAUGGGCGAAAGCCUGAUCCAGCAAUGCCGCGUGAGUGAUGAAGGCCUUAGGGUUGUAAAGCUCUUUUACCCGGGAUGAUAAUGACAGUACCGGGAGAAUAAGCCCCGGCUAACUCCGUG
rnacentral:rRNA from 1 species